CUAAUAGUAUUAGUUCACGAACUGUCAAGUCGUAUGGGUUACCAUGGCAACACACUAAUAAUAUUAGACUAAUACCGUUCGAGAAAUGGGCCCCUAUUAAUUCGUGGACUAAUAAUAUUAGUCUAAUAUCGUUCGAGAAAUGGGCCGUUGAGCGUGCAAGUGUCCAUGGGCGACGGUGGUUGCUUACCAUCAGGCGAUUCGUCU